UAUAAAGGCAUAUGGCGAAAUUUAAAUUCCUCUUAUAAAGUUGAUUCCUAAUUUGAUAAUUCUAUGAAACUGAAUUUCUCUAGUUUCAUUAGUGGCUUUUUCGCAUUUUCCACAUUAUUUUGUAAACUGUUACUAAGUGAAGAUUUGAGGUUUAAAUUAUGUAAUAGUGUCACUUAGCCUUUUCUUUUCAUAAAUCGGUCAUUUCAAUUUAUCUCUAUUCUUGCCCCUUUAAGGGAAGGAGCAUGAAAACCUAGGUUUUAUAAUUAAGAAGAAAUAUACUAGCCUCAACCCUUUUCUUUGAUAUUGAUUACUGCUGCGAAUCAUCAUUCUUUUCUCACAAAGUCUUGUGUGUAUACUUAUCUUUAACAACCGGUACUCACAAACAGGUUUAUUUGGUCAAGUCAUACCACUCUACUGUGUGUGUCCUAUUUUUGUUUUGUUUUAAACUAUGAUUUUGGCAUGAUUGCUGGAAAAUCCUCCUUCAUGCCUACAAAGAGAAACCUGUUUUCAAGGUAAAUGAUUUGAACUUAAGACAAAAGGAUGGCAUUUUUUUUU
rnacentral:lncRNA from 1 species